CCCUUAGAUGUCCUGGGCCGCACGCGCGCUACACUGAUGUGUCCAGUAAGCACCUAACCUCUUCCGAAAGGAACGGGUAACCUUUGCAAAGCACAUCGUGAUGGGGAUAGAUUAUUGCAAUUAUUAGUCUUGAACGAGGAAUUCCUAGUAAGCACAAGUCAUCAGCUUGUGUUGAUUACGUCCCUGCCCUUUGUACACACCGCCCGUCGCUCCUACCGAUUGAAUGUUCCGGUGAGCUCUUCGGACUGCGCGGUCUGCAGUUUCUGCGUUCCGUGCGGAAAGUUGCGCAAACCUUAACAUUUAGAGGAAGGAGAAGUCGUAACA
rnacentral:rRNA from 1 species